GUGAAUCUCUGUCUUCCAAAGGCUACACUGUGGAUGUCUCACAGUCUCCUUAGAAGUAAUCUGUCUGAAGCUGAGAAUACCAUCUUUCCUCUACAUGUCUGUGAACAAAUACUUCUCCUUGCUCCUCAUUCUGCUACUCCUUUUGGUCUCUCCUAGAGCAAAUUUAAGUUUCUGCUUUCCUUGCCAACAUCCAUUUUGGUUAUAAUGAGAUGGCAGUGGUUACUUUUCUGUUAUUAUUAUUAUUAUUUUUCUCUUUUAUUUUUGUCCAGCUGUUGGCAUUGUGAAAGAAAGGAGAGAAAAUGUUGUAGUCUCCAGCCAUCACCAUCCCCCUGACUGCUGCAGUAACCUGGAGGUUGUUCGGUACUGACUUCCUUCUCCUUUGGCCUGUCAGAGUAUGAUCUUCACGCUAGCCAGAAAUCUGUGGACCAUAACAUGGGUGUCUUUACAAUCACAGCAACAAAAGAGCAGAGGUGUCACAAACAAAGGAAGGUCCAUGCAGUAGUCACUGAGUGUGUCAAGUUCCCUGAGUUGUGGAAGAAUGGGGCUGGAAGUCACCAGAAUGUUUGCGGAAAUGCUAUAAGCCCUGAGAAGUCGCAGAAGGAUGCUCUGGGUCUGUGGCAGUCUGGCUGAAGCUCAGAACAAAAUUCAAGGGAGUCCAGCAUUGCACACAGAGUUUCUUCUGCUGUAUUAAUUGAGAGAGAGAGAAGGCAGAGGACUUAAACUGUGUUACUCAAAGGUAAGUGUUUUGAUAGCCUGCUCAGUUCUCAGUACUUUGAGGAGUUCGAGAAAUCCCUUUAAACUGUGCACGUCCUAUUAUUUGUACAUUAGAAGUUGUUAAGGUGUCUUCACCUUCACUUGUGGAUUGUUUUCUGUCAUGCUUUAACUGGUACAUAGGCUACGCCUUUCUCCGUUUCACCCUGACAUCAUUCCCGGGCCUUUUUAUUUGUCAAAGGCUUGCAUUCCAAUUUGGGGACUGAUAAAGAUUGAGGACUUGGGGAUCCAAGAACCUUAAGUUCUUAUUGAGUGUUUGCUGCAAAAAUAAUGUUCUGACCAACUCAUUAACUAGCUAGAUGGACUUACUCUGCUUUGUAAUGUGUUUCAUACUUCCAUGCUCUAAACGAUGCUGUUGUCUGUCUUUGUCAAAUCAGUUGGAAAUUAAAUACAAAUUCCAUUUACAGGUCAUUAUUUUUUUGCAUUGCUGUUGUUUUGAUAGGAGCAUACGCGUGUAUGUUAAGC
rnacentral:lncRNA from 1 species